AAGAAGUAGUCACGUUCAAGCAAAGCAAGUUAUUUUGUCUGUCGUCAUUUGAGCCAUAAUUUCUGAAAAAAAAAAACUUUAUUACUGAUUCGCAAACGUAUGCUUUCAAAGUUCUUUUCUGACGUGCAAAUCGAUCGUCGGAACUGGAUAUAGGGGCGAACGACUAAUCGAACCAUUUAGUAGUUGGUUACCUCCGAAGUUUCCCUCAGGAUAGCUGGUUCCGCACGGAACGCGCGCAAGUAUCAUCUGGUAAAGCGAAUAAUUAAAGGUCUUGGGUCCGAAACGACCUCAACCUAUUUUCAAACUUUAAAAUGGUGAAACCUCUAACUUUUUUGAACUAUGAAGUCAUGAAUAUCUCGGAUCAGAAUGUCAAGUGGGCUAUUUUUGGUAAGCAGAACUAGCGCUGUGGAAUGAACCAAACGCAGAUUUAAGGCGCCCAACUCGAUGCUUAUGGGACACUAUGAAAAGUGUUGGUUGCUUAAGAUAGUAGGGCGAUGGCCAAGAUGGAAUUUUAAGGAAUGUAUAACAACUCACCUGCCGAAGCAAUUAGCCCUGAAAAUGGAUCGCGCUGAAGCGUCGAGCCUAUAUUCGGCCGCGUGCGGGCUCGUCGCGUACGUCGCCACGAAGCUUUGACGAAUAGGAGAGUCACGGUGGUGUGCGCAGAAAGGUCUGAGCGUGAGUCUGCCUGGAGCUGCCGUCGAUGCACAUCUUGGUAGUAAUAAAUAUUCCAGCGAGGCCCUGGAGGACUGACGUGGAGAAGGAUUUCGCAUGAACUGCCGUUGCAUACGAGUCAGUCAAUCCUAAGCCAUAGGAGAAAUCCUAUGUCACUGAUGGCAUACAAUACUCUAAUGUACAACUCGAGCAACUCUGCAAAGAGGAGAGAGAGUGACACACGUCCGUCAGGCGAAAGAAAAUCCAAUUCCUAUUCCGGAACCCGGCAGCAGAACCGCAUACAAUUCGGGCUCUUGUAAGAAUGUUUGUUGGGAUAACCCAAAAUGACCUGGAGACGCCAUCGGAAGAUCCGAGAAGAGUCUUCUUUUCUGUAAAAGCGUUUGAGUUUCCUGGAAACCUCUAGCAGGGAAAUAGGAUUUGGAACGCGAACAGCACCGUAAUUACGGCGAUGUCCGGAUCUUUCCCUCGGACUUUGAAAAUCCAGGAGAGAGCCACGUGGAGGUGUCGCGUCGGCCCAUAUUCACAGCAGGCCUUCAAAGUAAAGAGCCUCUAAUU
rnacentral:ncRNA from 1 species